GCGCGGAUGGCGGAAUUGGUAGACGCGCUGGAUUUAGGUUCCAGUGGAUCGCUCCGUGAGGGUUCGAGUCCCUCUCCGCGCACCA
rnacentral:tRNA from 1 species